GUCUUUUAAUUGAAGUCUGGUAUGAAUGGUUUGAUGAAAAAUUUACUUUCUUUACUUUAUAAGAUAAAAUUUAAUUUUUGGAUUAAAAAGUCUAAAUAUAUUUAUAGGACGAGAAGACCCUAUAGAACUUGACUUUUAUAUUUUAAAUAAAUUUUUAGUGAUAUAAUUUUUUAUUAUGAUGUUAAAAGUUUUAUUGGGGUGAUAAAAAAAAUUUUUUAACUUUUUUUAUUUGAUUCAUUUAUUUAUGAAUUUUUGAUCCUUUUUUAUGGAAAAUAAGAUUAAGUUACCUUAGGGAUAACAGCGUUAUUAUUUUAGAGAGAUCAUAUUGAUAAAAUAGUUUGCGACCUCGAUGUUGGAUUAAAAUUAGUUUCAGGAGUAGAAUAUUGAUUACUAGGUCUGUUCGACCUAUAAAUUUUUACA
rnacentral:rRNA from 1 species